rnacentral:rRNA from 1 species
AGCUCGAUGAGUAGGGCGGGACACGUGGUAUCCUGUCUGAAUAUGGGGGGACCAUCCUCCAAGGCUAAAUACUCCUGACUGACCGAUAGUGAACCAGUACCGUGAGGGAAAGGCGAAAAGAACCCCGGCGAGGGGAGUGAAAAAGAACCUGAAACCGUGUACGUACAAGCAGUGGGAGCACAGAGCAAUCUGUGUGACUGCGUACCUUUUGUAUAAUGGGUCAGCGACUUAUAUUCUGUAGCAAGGUUAACCGAAUAGGGGAGCCGAAGGGAAACCGAGUCUUAACUGGGCGUUAAGUUGCAGGGUAUAGACCCGAAACCCGGUGAUCUAGCCAUGGGCAGGUUGAAGGUUGGGUAACACUAACUGGAGGACCGAACCGACUAAUGUUGAAAAAUUAGCGGAUGACUUGUGGCUGGGGGUGAAAGGCCAAUCAAACCGGGAGAUAGCUGGUUCUCCCCGAAAGCUAUUUAGGUAGCGCCUCGUGAAUUCAUCUCCGGGGGUAGAGCACUGUUUCGGCAAGGGGGUCAUCCCGACUUACCAACCCGAUGCAAACUGCGAAUACCGGAGAAUGUUAUCACGGGAGACACACGGCGGGUGCUAACGUCCGUCGUGAAGAGGGAAACAACCCAGACCGCCAGCUAAGGUCCCAAAGUCAUGGUUAAGUGGGAAACGAUGUGGGAAGGCCCAGACAGCCAGGAUGUUGGCUUAGAAGCAGCCAUCAUUUAAAGAAAGCGUAAUAGCUCACUGGUCGAGUCGGCCUGCGCGGAAGAUGUAACGGGGCUAAACCAUGCACCGAAGCUGCGGCAGCGACACUGUGUGUUGUUGGGUAGGGGAGCGUUCUGUAAGCCUGUGAAGGUGUGCUGUGAGGCAUGCUGGAGGUAUCAGAAGUGCGAAUGCUGACAUAAGUAACGAUAAAGCGGGUGAAAAGCCCGCUCGCCGGAAGACCAAGGGUUCCUGUCCAACGUUAAUCGGGGCAGGGUGAGUCGACCCCUAAGGCGAGGCCGAAAGGCGUAGUCGAUGGGAAACAGGUUAAUAUUCCUGUACUUGGUGUUACUGCGAAGGGGGGACGGAGAAGGCUAUGUUGGCCGGGCGACGGUUGUCCCGGUUUAAGCGUGUAGGCUGGUUUUCCAGGCAAAUCCGGAAAAUCAAGGCUGAGGCGUGAUGACGAGGCACUACGGUGCUGAAGCAACAAAUGCCCUGCUUCCAGGAAAAGCCUCUAAGCAUCAGGUAACAUCAAAUCGUACCCCAAACCGACACAGGUGGUCAGGUAGAGAAUACCAAGGCGCUUGAGAGAACUCGGGUGAAGGAACUAGGCAAAAUGGUGCCGUAACUUCGGGAGAAGGCACGCUGAUAUGUAGGUGAAGUCCCUCGCGGAUGGAGCUGAAAUCAGUCGAAGAUACCAGCUGGCUGCAACUGUUUAUUAAAAACACAGCACUGUGCAAACACGAAAGUGGACGUAUACGGUGUGACGCCUGCCCGGUGCCGGAAGGUUAAUUGAUGGGGUCAGCGCAAGCGAAGCUCUUGAUCGAAGCCCCGGUAAACGGCGGCCGUAACUAUAACGGUCCUAAGGUAGCGAAAUUCCUUGUCGGGUAAGUUCCGACCUGCACGAAUGGCGUAAUGAUGGCCAGGCUGUCUCCACCCGAGACUCAGUGAAAUUGAACUCGCUGUGAAGAUGCAGUGUACCCGCGGCAAGACGGAAAGACCCCGUGAACCUUUACUAUAGCUUGACACUGAACAUUGAGCCUUGAUGUGUAGGAUAGGUGGGAGGCUUUGAAGUGUGGACGCCAGUCUGCAUGGAGCCGACCUUGAAAUACCACCCUUUAAUGUUUGAUGUUCUAACGUGGACCCGUGAUCCGGGUUGCGGACAGUGUCUGGUGGGUAGUUUGACUGGGGCGGUCUCCUCCUAAAGAGUAACGGAGGAGCACGAAGGUUGGCUAAUCCUGGUCGGACAUCAGGAGGUUAGUGCAAUGGCAUAAGCCAGCUUGACUGCGAGCGUGACGGCGCGAGCAGGUGCGAAAGCAGGUCAUAGUGAUCCGGUGGUUCUGAAUGGAAGGGCCAUCGCUCAACGGAUAAAAGGUACUCCGGGGAUAACAGGCUGAUACCGCCCAAGAGUUCAUAUCGACGGCGGUGUUUGGCACCUCGAUGUCGGCUCAUCACAUCCUGGGGCUGAAGUAGGUCCCAAGGGUAUGGCUGUUCGCCAUUUAAAGUGGUACGCGAGCUGGGUUUAGAACGUCGUGAGACAGUUCGGUCCCUAUCUGCCGUGGGCGCUGGAGAACUGAGGGGGGCUGCUCCUAGUACGAGAGGACCGGAGUGGACGCAUCACUGGUGUUCGGGUUGUCAUGCCAAUGGCACUGCCCGGUAGCUAAAUGCGGAAGAGAUAAGUGCUGAAAGCAUCUAAGCACGAAACUUGCCCCGAGAUGAGUUCUCCCUGACCCUUUAAGGGUCCUGAAGGAACGUUGAAGACGACGACGUUGAUAGGCCGGGUGUGUAAGCGCAGCGAUGCGUUGAGCUAACCGGUACUAAUGAACCGUGAGGCUUAACCUUACAACGCCGAAGGUGUUU